GACGAACGCUGGCGGCGUGCUUAACACAUGCAAGUCGAGCGGUAAGGCCCUUUCGGGGUACGACGAGCGGCGAACGGGUGAGUAACACGUGGGUGACCUCGCCCUCCAGUUCUUGGGAGUAAAGCCUCGGGAAACCGGGGUACCUAAUACUGGAUAUGACCUCAUGACGCAUGUUGUGGGGUGGAAAGCCUUGUGCGACUGAGGAUGGGCCCGCGGCCUAUCAGCUUGUUGGUGGGGUGAUGGCCUACUAAGGCGACGACGGGUAGCCGGCCUGAGAGGGCGACCGGCCACACUGGGACUGAGACACGGCCCAGACUCCUACGGGAGGCAGCAGUGGGGAAUCUUGCGCAAUGGGCGAAAGCCUGACGCAGCGACGCCGCGUGAGGGAUGACGGCCUGUG
rnacentral:rRNA from 1 species